AGGAUUAGGGUUGCGAUCGAAUUGUGUUUAUAUGAUAGUUUGUGCUUUUAUACGAUGGUUAUGGUUUUUGGUUUUUGAGGUGCUGUAACAAAUGGAAUAAUUCCACUACAUAUUUCAAUUUACUUGGUAAUUAAUAGAUGGUAAAUAUUAAUCACCAAUUCACCAAAUGAAAGUGAAUGUCUAUCUCACACUUUUAACUAUGGUACUACUAAAAUUAAACAAAAUCACAACAAUUAAAAACAUGCCUUAAGUGGGUUCCCACUUCCCAUGGGCAAUGCUAACACUCCUCUUGCAAUUAUGAAAUGUUAUUAUAUCAUGAUGGUGGCAGGUUAAGAAAAGAUGUGCAUGAUAUUGAUGAUGAUGGGAUUUGGAAUUACUUGCGAGUAAUACAAACAAGCAACAGGAAGAAAGUUCCAAGAUGCCAGCCCAACAAAGGCAAAAAAGAUAUGCAGCAGUAAUGAGGAAGAAAUGGCAUGCAUUUGUCCAGUAGUAAAAUUUUAUCCAUUUGGUAAAAAGAAGAGAGUAAGCCGGUAAGGGUAGGCACAAAAUAGUGAGUUUCUCAAAGCACAAGAAAGAGGUGAAGAAUUAGGACAAAAGGAUCUUUAACUUUUCUUAUGUGCCCAUCUCGUGCAAUUUUUUCAAAGCUGGAACCCUAGAAAGCACAGCACGUAUAAAAUAUAGAAAAGAUUGACCGUACUAAAUUGGAAUAAAUAGGGCUUCCCACUUAAACGUCUUUUAUGCUUUGCUAUAUAGUCCACAAGCCCCUCUCUGGAAAAGGCGCAGUUAGGUCCCUUAUUGCUUUUCAGCAUUUUUGGGGGAAUGAAAUGCAUUUUUCCACCUGUGUCCAAGAACAAUUUCUUUGUUGCCAUACAUAUUCUUUUCUUAAUUACAGGACUUGGAAUUUUUUACUUGGAAUCUAAAAUCAAAAGUCGGUUGUAGUUUUUAUAUUGAGCAUCACUGGUUAAAGAUCCUAUCAGUUGAAUCAAAUUUUACAGUGUAAACUCGUAUGCAGUUUCGUGAGGUAUUCACCUACUUUCAUCGAAUUGAUAUUAUAUGUAUAAUGUAUAUUUAUUCUUUUUUCUCGAUUGAGAGGUACAUACCAUAAUAUUCCAACAAAAACAAAUUUGUACGCCGCUAGUAUUCAAAAGUUUUUCGUUGAUGUUUUGGCUCCAUUCAACUUUCUUUUUUGAGCUGUAAUCUACAAUAAAAUAAUUUUCGGUACAACAUUUCCUACUCUCAGCUGAAAACCUAAGUUUUGUAUCAUACCCGUAAAUUUUAUAUUGGCAACACCCAAAGUUUAUAGUUAGUUGUUUGAAGCGGAAAUUUCACUAAGCCACGUGUCAUAAGAAUAAGCUUCUUCUAGAAUUGGGGUUGAAUAGAAAUUUAGAUUAGAUGGUCUAUAAUUCACCUGAUCCUGUUGUGUAGUUUGAAAAAUAAGGUCUAAAAGCAUGCUCAGGCGUUGAUGUGGCCUAAAUAAGUUAUUGUUGCAAUCUUCACUUGGCUUGAAUAGUCACAAACGCUAUGAUAUUGCACACUAGAAAAAUUCUUAGAAACGAUUGGAGAGGUCACAACGGUCUCACUUAAAACCCAGAUUCCUUAAACUCUUAUCGCCUUUGUGACAGAACUUUUCUAAACAUGUACAAUACCACAUGAUUGGUCCACUCUUGGUCUUCGAAUGUUCCCCUUGGAAAUAGUUCUGAUAACACCAUUUAUUGAUUGAUGAGCGAAGCAGAUAUACAAUUAAAAUAAAAUUGAGAAAUAAAUAUCACAUAGGAGAUAAAAGUUUACGUAAUUCAGUUUUUAGCAUACGUCCACAUGAGAAGAUGGGAGGAAAUAUUUUACUAAUUGUGUAGAGUUUACAAGUAUUGUAAUAAUUUUAUCUCACAACCCAGAACCCCAAUACACCCAAACUCUCAAAUUAAGAAUUUAAAGCUCUCAAAAUAUUUUCUCAAUUGAUGCUUCUUCCACACUUUAUUUGAUGAUUUCUCCAUGCACUUAACUCACCUAUUUAUAGGGCAAGCCAAGCCUAAAAUGUCCAUUUUAGUUGGCUUUAAAAUAAUAAUUUAUUAUAUUUUUAUCAAAAUUGGUGUGCAUUAAAAUAAUAAUUUAUUUGUAGAAAUCAAAUUAUUUUAAUAAAAUAAUUUGUUUUGUUAAAAUUGGUUGAUGAUAUUUUAUUGCCACCAUUUUACUAUAUUUAGACUAUAAUAAAAGGUGUUGUCGCUGAAUGCCCCGAAUAACUAGUCUGACUAAAUUUCACAUUUGCUUCGCAAGUUUUUCAUUGGGCAAUAUCUGGUGCAAACCCUGAGAACCAUGUAACACAUCCCGGACUUGAGCUUUAUGGGCUGAAUUGGGUUAUUGGGCCUAAUAUCGUUUUUUAUGUAGAAACAUUAGUACAUAUAAAAUGGAGGAUAGGAUAUUAGUGAAAAUUUAAGGGGUCAGCAAUGGAAAAUAUAAAAUAACUUCAGGUUCUACAAUCAAAACUUGGCAGUUGUAUCAGACAACUACUAAUAUUUACAAUAAACUAACUAUUAGGAUUAAUUUACAACCUCCACUCAAUUAUUCUUUAAUUUAGGGAGGAAUUGAGUCCCCAUAUUUCAAUAUGGGUACUCAAACCGGCAGCUCACCGCUCGGCCACCUAUUGUGUUUGGACUUUUAUAACAACUGAAAUAUCCCGCAAGGAAGGCUGACUAGAGUAAAAUGGCGUCUGGUUUUUCCUUGGCUUUAAACUGACAACGUCCCAUCAACUGCUUCUGGUACCUAUAGCCAUCACAAGUUCCCCAAACCCCCCGAAAGUAAUUUGUAUUUAAGUGAAGCGUAGCAGCAGAGAUUCGUUGAAUUCAACAAAGCCUGUUGAACCUUGCCAAAGUACUUUUGUUUCUUCUGCGAUCGAUAUAACCAAAACACUUUGAUUGGCUUUUGUCUCUCAUUUCUACAGUGUUUGAAACAAGUGCUAAACAGCAUAAGUUUCUUGUGUUUUAAAACGUUAACGUACGGGUAUGGUAAAACUUACCAUAUUCUCAGCUACAAACAGAAGCAAUGGUAAUUUUACCAGGCAUAAGAUGGCUAAAAGAAGUUCAAGACUUCAAAAUGAUCCACGAAGUUCAACUUACAAAUAAGAAAAUCGCAGAAAUUACCAUGUGAUACACAAGGAAAACUAUUAACUAAAAACUGCAGUGCACAUCCAUUUUGAAGUAUCAAACCAGUUCCAAGCGAAUUCAAAUAUACAACUUAGGCUCAAGAAUCUCCAUGUAAAGAUUUCAAUUACUACAUACAGACAAUAUUUAUAGCAUUUGGAACGUAAACUCAUCAUCCGAACCACAAUCCACCAUCUUUCUCGACAUUAGGCUAACCGGAUUUGAAUAGCAAAACUGCUUUCUGAUCCAAAUAGAAAUAAACAAAGUGGUUUGUUUCGUGAGUCACAUAUGAACCUGUAAAGAAAACAGAUUAAAGAAAUCUCAGUACAACCCUUAUCAUUGGAGUGUUAAGAUAAAAAGAAUUUCUGUUCUUGCGAAAGGAGUGUGCCUUACUAGAAACAACACUGAGGGAGGAGGAUUAAGCAAGUCUAAAGUUAUGAAUCACCCAGAUGAAUCAAGCUAAAAAGAGGUGUGAAUGCCUCCAAACUCAAAAUUAAUUAGAAUCAAACGCCAUAAAUAGUGCACAUAGGACAGCAAACAGAAUCAUAUGUCAGUAAUUUUCCAUAAGUCUGGCAGCUGAACAUUGGCAAUUGAGGGUUGCAGGAUACUCAUUGCACAAGCUUGAACAAAGCAAGGUGAAGCACUAUACAUCUGGACACAUUAUGCCAGGAUAAAUCUAACCUAAUUUUUUUUUUCCCCCCAAAAUUCACCUAAAG
rnacentral:lncRNA from 1 species